AUUGAACGCUGGCGGCAUGCUUUACACAUGCAAGUCGAACGGUAACAGGCCGCAAGGUGCUGACGAGUGGCGAACGGGUGAGUAAUGCAUCGGAACGUGCCCAGUCGUGGGGGAUAACUACUCGAAAGAGUAGCUAAUACCGCAUACGAUCUAUGGAUGACAGCGGGGGACCGUAAGGCCUCGCGCGAUUGGAGCGGCCGAUGUCAGAUUAUGUAGUUGGUGGGGUAAAGGCUCACCAAGCCAACCAUCUGUAGCUGGUCUGAGAGGACGACCAGCCACACUGGGACUGAGACACGGCCCAGACUCCUACGGGAGGCAGCAGUGGGGAAUUUUGGACAAUGGGCGCAAGCCUGAUCCAGCAAUGCCGCGUGCAGGAAGAAGGCCUUCGGGUUGUAAACUGCUUUUGUACGGAACGAAACGGCUCUGGUUAAUACCCGGGGCUAAUGACGGUACCGUAAGAAUAAGCACCGGCUAACUACGU
rnacentral:rRNA from 1 species